CAAAAAAAGGAGGCAGACCGUCAGGAGCAGCUGGCUGAGAGAGAGAGAAGGGGAGAGACAGAGAGAGAGAGAGAGAGAGAGAGAGAGAGAGGGAGCUGUAGACAAAAAGAGACAGAGCAAUACACAGAAGAGGAGUGCAAGGAAAUCCUAAGAAGUAAAACAAGGCCAGAAGACUUUCUCUUCAGUAGACAGCACAGAAAAGAGCACAACAAACUCUAGCACAACACAAACCAGCUGUAAGAAUGUGCUCCAGUCUUGCUCAGAAGUGAGAGAAGCUGAUCAAAUGAAGACCUGAAAACAUAAAAGACCGCAGAGAGUGACACUGAGAGAAACCAAGCAGGAAGGUCUUCCUUAAAGACAAACAAACAAACAAAAAACAAGCUGAACUGAUCGCAGCUCUUGCAGAGCCAAUGGGAUGUUUUGUCCGUGAGACUUGACUGCUGACCACUAAGAGCAGAACAAGUCCAAACCUGCACCGAGGGAAACUUUCACAGCUGGCUUACUGCUAACUUUAACAUCUUUCUCCAAAAAAACCACAGAAAACUGGCACAAAUUCCCACAGUGGCUUAGGUGUUGCUCAGCAUGGAUGCCAGGGAGGAAGUGUUGGGCAUGCUUAACAAAGCGUGGGCCAAGCUGCAGGGCCUACCUAAUGCCAACCCCCUGGAUUUGGGAGCGUUCCUUGUCAUCAUAAUCUUCAUUGUCACCUUCCUGCUCUUGGUUGUGAUGACAUGUAUACACUGCUGCUGCUGCGGCAAGCAGAAGUACCAGGCCUCCCGUGUAGAGCCACUCUGAGGACAAGGAGCCCUCACCUUGGAAGGAGGACACAGAGCUGAGCCAAUCUGACCUGUGUGUGUGUGUGUGUGUGUGGGAGAGUGCGUGCGUGCGUGCCUACGUGCACAAGAGAGUGAGGUAAUUGUGGCUGGAGUCCAUUUAGUACAUUACAGCAAGAGAGGCACCAAGGAAUUCUACAGUUAUCUCUUCGGUAGUAUUGAACUGCUGCAGCCACCUCCCUGAAAACACACAGACAUUCUGUGCACAGGAGAGAAUGCCAAAAUGCACCUCUGUAUUGCCUGAGAGGGAGGAAACCAGCUGGACUGUUGCCUGGUUGGUAGAACACUAAAAGAUAUGUACAUAUAACUGACACACAAUCUGCCAUAAAAUGAUUAGCAAUGCGGUCCAAUAUGCUUUAAAAUUUUGGAAGGACACAGGGUCAAAAUAUUUCACUUUCAGCCCAUAACUGUAUGUCUGUUUGCAUUUCUGUAUGAAAAGUCUCUCUCAGUUGUAAUGCGACACUUUAAACGAAACUGAAUGAUUUUGUUUUGAGGAAAAUACUGAAUCAUGGACAGUGCUGCCCUCUGCUGUACAUAGUUUAAAUAACAGCUCAGGAACUUUUGACGUACACUUAACUCCACAGACACGUAACUGCCAACUUCUAUAAAUAAAUGAUAAUAAAACUGCCUCAUAAAUAGCUUUACGUGAAGGAUUCUGACGCCCAAAAAAAUUCCUGCUAUCGCAUAUGCUGCCAAAUAUUAGACACAAUCAGGGAAGUUCACAGAAAACAGACUAGGGCAGAAAGGGAAAACUAAAGGUCCAGCUUCAGAAAAAGGGAACAAGCAACAAUUCUUCACAAGAAAAUUAAGAUGCAGUUAACAGGCACCACAUCAACUGGGAUAAUGACUUACACCAGCAAAAUGCCAAGACUAUUUCUGUUCAACUGAAGUUAACAUAUGUCCUGGUUAUGCCACACACUGCACUUUUACUAUUUUUAACAAAGAGGCAGGACUGGACUUCCCCUGGUCCUCUGUACAGUAUUGAGUGUAUAGUGCUAGUUUUUCAAUAUCUGCUUGUCUAAGAUGAUAUCAUCUCUUACAGUACAUACUGUGUUUUAUUUUUGUAUAUCAUGUGCACGCGCGUAUAUUCUUCGUCAUGUUAAUGUACAUUGGCCUAGCUUUACAUUGUGUUUACUAAGUGCAAAUAAAGUUUUACUU